AUGAGGCGUCGGGAGGUGUGGGGCCGGGAGAACAUUGCUCUGCCUGGUUUCCUAGGCGGAGGCAGGUGUGUUGUCGGCAGAGACCCUCACUCAGGCCAAGUGCGUGAUGUCUCUUCUUCUUCCGCAGACGCCGAGCCCGGCACCCGGGAACCUGUUCCGGACGUGCCGCUCCCAACCAUGACUCCCAGCACCGAGGAGGCUGACCACGACCCCGACCACGACCACGACCACGACCACGACCACGACGCCGAGCCCGGCACCCGGGAACCUGUUCCGGACGUGCCGCUCCCAACCAUGACUCCCAGCACCGAGGCUGACCACGACCAUGACCACGACCACGACGCCGAGCCCGGCACCCGGGAACCUGUUCCGGACGUGCCGCUCCCAACCAUGACUCCCAGCACCGAGGCUGACCACGACCACGACCACGACCACGACCACGACCACGACCACGACGCCGAGCCCGGCACCCGGGAACCUGUUCCGGACGUGCCGCUCCCAACCAUGACUCCCAGCACCG
rnacentral:lncRNA from 1 species